rnacentral:ncRNA from 1 species
GGAGGAACCUCUGGAGAGAACCGUUAAAUCGGUCGCCGAAGGAGCAAGCUUCAUACUAUCAAUGUGUGUAGUGAAACUCUCAGGCAAAAGGACAGAGGAGUGAAA